rnacentral:rRNA from 1 species
CGCGUAGGCGGUUUGUUAAGUCAGCUGUGAAAGCCCUGGGCUUAACCUGGGAACUGCAGUUGAUACUGGCAGGCUAGAGUACGAGAGAGGGAGGUAGAAUUCCUUGUGUAGCGGUGAAAUGCGUAGAUAUAUGGAGGAAUACCAGUGGCGAAGGCGGCCUCCUGGCUCGAUACUGACGCUGAGGUGCGAAAGCGUGGGUAGCAAACAGGAUUAGAUACCCUGGUAGUCC